GUGUGUGUGUGUUAGUGUGUGUGUGUGUGUGUGCGUGUCUGUGUGUGUUUGUGUGUAUCUGUGUGUGUGUGUGCGUGUGUGUGUGUGUGUGUGUGUGUGUGUGCGUGCGUGUGUGUGUGUGUGUGUGUGUGUGUGUGCGUGUCUGUGUGUGUUUGUGUGCGUGUGUGUGUGUGUCUGUCUGUGUGCGUGCGUGUGUGCGUGCGUGUGUCUGUGUGAGUGUGUGUGUAUCUGUGCGUGUGUCUGUGUGAGUGUGUGUGUGCGUGUAUCUGUGUGUGUGUGUGCGUGUAUCUGUGUGUGUGUGUGUGUGUGUGCGUGCGUGUGUGUGUGUGUGUGUGUCUGUGUGUGUGUGCGUGUAUCUGUGUGUGUGUGUGUGUGUGUCUGUGUGUGUGUGCGUGUAUCUGUGCGUGUGUGUGUGUGUUAGUGUGUGUGUGUGUGUGUGUGUGUGUGUGGUGUGUGUGUGUGUGUGUGUGUCUGUGUGUGUGUGUGUGCGUGUCUGUGUGUGUUUGUGUGCGUGUGUGUGUGUGUCUGUCUGUGUGCGUGCGUGUGUGCGUGCGUGUGUCUGUGUGAGUGUGUGUGUAUCUGUGCGUGUGUCUGUGUGAGUGUGUGUGUGUGUGUGUGUGUGUGUGUGUGUGUCUGUGUGAGUGUGUGUGUAUCUGUGCGUGUGUGUGUGUGUGUGUCUGUGUGAGUGUGUGUGUAUCUGUGCGUGUGUGUGUGUGUGUGUGCGUGUGUGUGUCUCUGUACACUCGACUCAACGUUUUCUUGUGUUUCCAGGUGAGGGCGUGCCUGGUGUGGAACCUGCUCAGCGUGGUGGUUGGUCUGGUGGGCGUGGCCUAUCUCUGCUGGCUGCUCGCUGACGGCCCCCCCCCCUCUCAGCGCCUCUGUGACACCCUCACCCAGUCAGCGUGUUGGCCCGUGCACCCACAGUUGCAGCAACAGACGAAGAACUGCUACGAAAAGAUGAAGUGGCUGGAUGUGAGUGUUUACGGACCUCUGGGCUCCCUGCUGGUUCUGCUCCUGCAGGUCUGUGUCGUCGUCACCGUCUGCGUGUUCUCCUGCAGAGCGCUCGGACGCUGCCACAGCUCCGCCCCCAUCAUGGUGGAGGUCGGGGACCAUGGCGACCCUCUGCUGUCGCGGUCCGGCAGUGACGUCUCUCUGCUGGGCAGCGAAGGAGAGGAAGCCUCCACGCUGCCUCACAAGUCCCCGUGAGAGGGAAAACUACAGUAGUACUACAGCAGAGAGUACUCGCAUACUGGGUCUCUGCCUGUCAUUAUAAUCUGUAAUCAUCUCUCCAGCUGUUUCUCUCUUUCAUCUGUUGUUAACAAUCGUUUUCAUGCUGCACUGCAUUCUGGGUCAUUUAGGGCUUCAUCUGCUCAGAGUUGGGAUUGAGUUUAAAUGUGGAACAGAUAAUACUUAUUUUUUAUCCAGGAACCCCCUUCCCCACUGCCGACCCUGAGACACGAGCUGUAAUAGUUAUGCUUAUGCUGGAAGUUCAGCAUCCUCGUUAAAAUGGACUAACGACCACCAAAACGCAAGGGAGGUGCAUAGAAAUUACGGGAGAAAAAGAUUAAGAAUCUAUAGGCGGAUGCCUCAAAAUGUGCCAACAUUUCUGACAUGUUUGGGGCUGUAGUAGCUGCUUCAACAUCAGCAUUACCUGAAGUAGAGGAAGGAGGAGAGGAGGCAGAAACAACAUCAUGACAGGGAAGAAGCCGAGGAGGAGGAGAGUGACCACGACAGGGCCAUGGGAGUGAGUGAGGAAAAGAUGGAAGAGAGAGUAGUUGACAACGUGGUAAGGAAUAGGUACUGUCGGUACACGAUCCGUUCUGCCUGCACGAUCCGUUCUGCACAUGCGCAAGAUUAUACUGUUUUACGUAUCCAUACGACCUGCACGAUCUGUUCCACGCUAGCCUAGGGCUAGCCUCCACCGGGAAGCUAACGUUAGUUUAGCUAACAGCUAAUUCGGCUAACCGCUAGCUGACAGCUAGAUUCAGUCUAAAAUAACGUUAACUCAAACGUAAUGGGAAAAGCAGCUACAGCUAAAUUAAGACUUCACAGUAAUAACAAUAAAGACAAGUACUGAGUGAUUGUAUUUUAAAUAAGCACAAGUAAAGUAGAACUGACGUAACAGCUGUUAUAUAUGUUAGGUGUUUGUUAUAUAUGUCAACGUUUAUUUUCAAGUUUUAUUUUGAGGGUCUUUUAAAGUUAUUACAUGCUGUCUCAGCUAGCAGUUAGCCGAAUUAGCUGUUAGCUAAACUAACGUUAGCUUGGCUGUCAACCGGAAGCGUGGAACAGAUCGUGCAGUGUCGUGAAUCCUCGUACAACCGCGCAUGCGCGAACAUUUUGCGCAUGUGCAGAACAGAUCGUGUACCGACAGGUACAUUAACAGGGACAGAAUGUGUCUGUGUGUGUGUGUGUGUGUCUGUCUCUGUGUGUCCAAAAACCGGGGGAGUACAGUAUACUUGUGGGGUCCGGACAGCUUUGUGGGGCCCAAAAUGCUGGACCCCACAAGGUUAAAGGUCUGUUUGAGGGUUAAGACUUGGUUUUAGGAUUAGGGUUAGAAUUAGGUUAUGGUUAGGGUGAGGGUAAGGGUUAAGGUUAGGCAUUUAGUGGUGAUGGUUAAGGUUAGGGUCAGGGGCUAGGGAAUGCAUUAUGUCAAUGACGGGUCCCCACAAAGAUAGUGAAACAAAUGUGUGUGUGUGUGUGUGUGUGUGUGUGCUGCGUGCGUGCGCCUCACGUCAUAACGACAACAAGCAGUUUGGCUGUAACAUUAAAGUUGGUGGCUGUCAGCUAACCUAACUGUUUGAAUAUGCUAGCGGUUGGCCUGUUGGGUAGCUGAGAAGUCUGUGAUCAGUGGUGUAGUGGUCCCUGGAGAAGUGGGUAUACUCUCAGUUUUCACCUAAAGUAGUCCAGAAAAAAGCCCUGUUUUAGAAACAGUGACAUGUAAGACUAUGAUUUAGUUUACCCAAAAAUCUGUCAUUUCUACUUGCUCACUAUUAUAAAAUGAUCAUGACUUGAUUAGGAGCAGUUUGUAGUUACUACUGGUCACACAAGCAGCCUGGAUGAAUGUAAAAUGUAUUUAUCAUGAGGCAAACAUGGUGUUAUCUCUUCUCCUCUAAAUGUGCAGUCAUAUUGCCACUGGCAAUUUGCCAGUAGUUUAAAAUAAUGAUUCAUUUGGAAACCACCUUAAAACUUACCUCAGAAUUAUGUCUUCCAUCAACUGGGGCGGCACACCGCCGCUUGUGUUAUUUCUUCAUCUGUUGUUUGGUCUGCUGCCGUUAUCGUAGUCAAGUGGCACCGGCACCUGAGGUUUUUUUGGGGGUUUUUUUUCACUGGCACCUGAGGUAUUAGCAAAGCCCGUCUACGGAAAGCCGUUCCACUCCCUAUUCAGCCCCAUUGUACCUACUUUGGUUGCAGUUCCACCAGAGUUCCACUGGGGGUGAUCACGGUCCAGUGCAAAAUGAAUGGGACCCUAUGGUGCUAGACGGCUAAAUUUGUCUCUUUCGCUUGAUUGUCGAUGAGAAAUCUCAGAUUUGAUUGUAGUUUUUGCAAGUUCAACAUGGAUUAUAGGUCAAAAGUUGAAUGAACGAGUACUUAUACCCUUUCGAUUUGUUACAGGUUGAGUCGUUGUUGCCCAUAACACGCUAGCAUUCUGCUAAUGAAUGCUGAUUGGUCAGUGAAGGACUGAUUACGAUCAGAGAUCCCGCUUGACGGCAUCCGAAGCAGAACCAGAAUGCCAGAGUGAAUAUUUCGGCGUGGUCUUUCAAACAUUAGCAGACCUCUUUCUAGCACGUGUAUUGACAGGGAGAGUCUAACCUGUCAGCUGUGUUGUCGAUGCCUCGAGAGAACAAAGGAAGUGACUCAGAGCUCGCCGUAAAGCAGUAUCUCUGGCCGUAUAUGUGUUUGACGUCAUUAACAUUUUAAAAGGCUUUUUAGAACAAAAAAAGCCACUUUAAAAAAAUCUAACACCCAGCAGUGUGUAUUUUCUUAGCCUCCCCUUUCAAAUGCAACAUUCAAAUUACUAGACAAAAUAUUAUAUCCUGAGAAAAGUGGAUUUUGAGGGGUAUAGCUCCAUAGAGUCCCAUUCAUUCUGCACUGGCCUGUGAGCGCCCCCUAUAUGGAACUCUGGUGGAACUGCAACCAGUUCAGAAGCCGGAAGUAACGAGAGAGUGGACCUUCUUCCCUUAUUAGAAAUUCUUUGGUAUUAGCGAUAUUUUCCUCGGCAUGACCCGCCCUACUCUGCCUCUGAUUGGCUCAUCAGUCCUCAUGCCUAAAGUUAACCAAUCUAAUCAGUGAAAGCAGCGAGUACCAGCCAAUUAGAGGCAGAGGAGGGUGGGUCAUGGCUUCACUAUCCUUGAGGAAAAAAUGGGCAAUCUGGCUCACAGAUAUUACUGAACGGUGCGCAUCAGGGGGGAUUUAGAAGUGGGUAUACGCAAUGCUGACUGAAAAAUAAGUAGGUAUACGCCGUAUACCAGCGUAUACCCUGGACUACACCACUGUCUGUGAUCUAUAACAUCAGUGUUGAUACAAGCAUCAGUGUUCCUUGGAUUGCUUAAUUAGCUAAUGUUAUUCAGUAGCAUUGCAAAGCCAAAGUUGCUUUGUGGAAUGCCAGUACCAUUUUAACUAUUUCUUACAAUAGUUAGAAUUAACAGUAAAGAGUUUUUAAAAGUUGCUAAGCCAAUAUUAAGCAAAAAUAAAAAAUAGUAAUAAUAACAUUGAUGGCAAUACCAUAUCAAAUAUCAAUAAUAAAAAAAUAAACAAAUACCAUAAAUAUACAAAUCAUAACUCUAAGAAUGAAUUAAUUAUUUAAGGGUAAGAUCAACAGAUAAGUCUUGAGACCCCUCUUGAAGGAUCCAAAACUAUCACAUGAGCUCAGAACACUAAACAACUGAUAUGAGAGAAUGCAUGCAUAUUUUAAGAGGGCUGUCUGCAGGGAAUGUGUCUGACCAAUCACGGGGGGUGGUGUGGGCCGCCUGGGCCAAAAAUGCCAGGGCCGAUUUCUUUGUCCCAGUCCGGCCCUGUGUAGGCUACGUGUCCACUGUCAGCAUCAAAUCCACACUUCCCAUUCAUUGUCUAUGGGAGCAGCCGCGCAAUGCAUUCUGGGAGCGUUGAGUUUUCCGCUCCUCAUUUGCGUAAAGUUGAAUCCAGCCAACUUUAUGCAAAUGAGGAGCAGCCUGCUCGACUGACCACCUCUCAAAAGCUGACGGAAAUCUUUUAAACUGACCGUUGUUGAACGUGUGUGUGUCUGUCUGUCUGUCUGUCUGUCUGUCUGUCUGUCUGUGUGUCUGUCUGUCUGUCUGUCUGUGUCUGUCUGUCUGUGUGUGUGUGUGUGUGUGUGUGUGUGUGUGUGUGUGUGUGUGUGUGUGUGUGUGUGUGUCUGUGUCUGUGUCUGUGUCUGUGUCUGUGUGUGUGUGUGUGUGUGUGUGUGUGUGUGUGUGUUUUCAGGUGGUCCAGAUCUUCAUCGGCCUGCUGUGUAUCCUCUUCUGUCCUCCUCCUAUUCCCUGAUCCUGUUUCUUUAAAUAAAUAAAAGGAAGUGUUUGGGUUCUUGGAAAUGAUGUUACGGAGAGAUAAACACGAUGCGUUUAAGUGUAAUCGGAGUAAACACAAUCUAGUGCGCACCACAGACUUAAACCCGUCAAAAUGACAAAACGAAAUGUGUAUGAUUUUUGUAAGAAUAUUGUUUAACUUUUUGUAAUUAAAAGAUGCAGUUUUAAGCUUAAAACCACAGUUUGGUUGUCGCAUUUCAUGUAAGAUUUCCUUGUCUCUCUGUCUCUUUUAUGUGUAAAUAAAGUUAAGUAU
rnacentral:lncRNA from 1 species